ACCACGAGAGUUUGUAACACCCGAAGUCGGUGGGGUAACCUUUUUGGAGCCAGCCGCCUAAGGUGGGACAGAUGAUUGGGGUGAAGUCGUAACAAGGUAGCCGUAUCGGAAGGUGCGGCUGGAUCACCUCCUUUCUAUGGAGA
rnacentral:rRNA from 1 species